AUUGAACGCUGGCGGUAGGCCUAACACAUGCAAGUCGAACGGUAACGGACCGCUGGGAUUCCUUCGGGAUGACCUUGGUGCCGACGAGUGGCGCAAGGGUGAGUAACACGUGAAUAAUCUGCCCUCGAGACUGGGAUAACCUGAGGAAACUUAGGCUAAUACCGGAUAAGACCACAUUUCAUAUGGGAUGUGGGAAAAGGAGUCUCAAUCUUCACUCGAGGAUGAGUUCGCGGACCAUUAGCUUGUUGGUGAGAUAAAAGCUCACCAAGGCAACGAUGGUUAGCCGACCUGAGAGGGUGAUCGGCCACACUGGAACUGAGACACGGUCCAGACUCCUACGGGAGGCAGCAGUGGGGAAUAUUGCGCAAUGGGCGAAAGCCUGACGCAGCAACACCGUGUGAGCGAUG
rnacentral:rRNA from 1 species